rnacentral:lncRNA from 1 species
UCUGAGUGGUAACAGGCCCUGGUGGUGAUGUCACAGCGUAUCCCUCCUGUAUCCCUCCUAUAUCCCUCUGCCAUGGGUGCCAGCUGUGGCCCAGUUGCUUGUGGGGCCUGUAGGAGGAGGACCCAGAGAGAGCGUUGUGUCUAUCUGGGGACAUCCUGCUGCGAUGGAGAGGCUGAGAGCCCUUAGCGGUGAGGGGCAGCGGGAGGGAGGUUGGGGACUGAAGCAGGACCCUGCCCAGCAGGCUGCUUGGGGCUGCGUCUCCUGUGGAGAUUUCUCUUCAAACUGGCCAAGAGACUUGUCCCUACCAGCUCCAGCCCCCUGCAGCCAGCAGCACCGAUGCCACCUGCUCCGUUCUUUCCUUCCAGGUGUGGGCUGCUGGCCCAGACGUAAACGUCGCCAGGGCAGAGGCAGGGUGACAGGGCCUGUCCCUGAAGUGGCCCCAACCUCUGCCACUGUUGUGACUUCUCUGCUAGAGCACCUGCAAGAUGAGGAGGGUGACAGAGCGCAGACUUACUGCGAGCUGGAGAACGUCUUGUGGGGAGCUGACAGCUGCCUGCAGUGCAGUGUCAUCAACCGGCUGCUAGCAGAGGUGUCCUGGGACCUGACAGCUGACCAGGUGGGAUUGUGCUCUUGGAAGGCGAUGGGAGCAGCCUGCCAGGUGUUUGAGGGAAAUGCGGAGCAGCACAGCCAGGUUUUUCUGGCCUUGGGGCCCAACAGAGGCUCCCCAGUGGCCCUGAGGGAUCAGGCAGCUGGGGAGAAGCCUGCCUGGGCUAGGCAGGGAGCAACAGCUGGGGAGCUGCUCGCCUUCCUUCCCCAGGGGACCAGAGGUGGCAGCCGCCCAGACCCACGUUGUGUUGUGGGGGAGUAGGGGCCAUCUCCCCAGUGCCUCCAGAUCACAAAGUCCACUCGAGCUGAAACCCCGUAGCCAGUGCUGGCUGGUUCGCAGAUCAGGGGAUCGCAGGAUGGCUGAGGCUGGCAGGGCCCUCUGGGUCCACCUGCUCCAAGCCCUGCUCCAGCA